rnacentral:pre_miRNA from 1 species
AUAUUACUCCCUCUGUCCAACAAAAGAUGUCUUAAGUUAGCAAAUUUUGAAUGUAUCUAGACAUGACUUAGCGUAUAAAUGCAUUCAAAUUUAGUCAAAAUUGAGACAUUCUUUGUUAGAUGGAGCGAGUACCAC